rnacentral:rRNA from 1 species
CCCGCACAAGCGGAGGAGCAUGUGGUUUAAUUCGAUGAUACGCGAGGAACCUUACCUGGGCUCGAACGUAAGAUGACUGUAGGUGAAAGCUUACAUCUCUUCGGAGCAUUUUACGAGGUGCUGCAUGGUUGUCGUCAGCUCGUGCCGUGAGGUGUCGGGUUAAGUCCCAUAACGAGCGCAACCCCUGCAUUCAGUUGCCAUCGGGUGAAGCCGGGCACUCUGGAAGGACUGCCAUCGACAAGAUGGAGGAAGGUGGGGACGACGUCAAGUCAUCAUGGCCCUUAUGUCCAGGGCGACACACGUGCUACAAUGGCCGGCACAACGGGAAGCGAGUUCGCGAGGACGAGCGGAUCCCUUAAAGCCGGUCGCAGUUCGGAUUGAAGUCUGCAACUCGACUUCAUGAAGCUGGAAUCGCUAGUAAUCGCAGAUCAGCCAAGCUGCGGUGAAUACGUUCCCGGGCCUU